rnacentral:rRNA from 1 species
AGCGGCAAACGGGUGAGUAUAAUGUGGGAAUCUGCCUUUUGGUUCGGAAUAACACGAGGAAACUUGUGCUAAUACCGGAUAAGCCUUUACAGGGAAAGUUUUAAUGCCAAAAGAUGAGCCCGCACUUGAUUAGCUAGUUGGUAAGGUAAUAGCUUACCAAGGCAACGAUCAAUAGCUGUUCUUAGAGGAAGACCAGCCGCAUUGGGACUGAGACACGGCCCAAACUCCUACGGGAGGCAGCAGUGGGGAAUCUUGCACAAUGGGGGCAACCCUGAUGCAGCGAUGCCGCGUGAGUGAAGAAGGCCUUUGGGUUGUAAAACUCUUUCGUCGGGGAAGAAAAUGACUGUACCCGAAUAAGAAGGUCCGGCUAACUUCGUGCCAGCAGCCGCGGUAAUACGAAGGGACCUAGCGUAGUUCGGAAUUACUGGGCUUAAAGAGUUCGUAGGUGGUUAAAAUAGUUGAUGGUGAAAUCCCAAGGCUCAACCUUGGAACUGCCAUCAAAACUUUUUAGCUAGAGUAUGAUAGAGGAAAGUGGAAUUUCUAGUGUAGAGGUGAAAUUCGUAGAUAUUAGAAAGAACAUCAAAAGCGAAGGCAACUUUCUGGAUCAUUACUGACACUGAGGAACGAAAGCAUGGGUAGCGAAGAGGAUUAAAUACCCUCGUAGUCCAUGCCGA